rnacentral:rRNA from 1 species
CCUACGGGAGGCUGCAGUCGAGGAUCUUCGGCAAUGGACGAAAGUCUGACCGAGCAACGCCGCGUGUGCGAUGAAGGCCUUCGGGUUGUAAAGCACUGUCGAGGGGAAACAAGCCGUAAGGUUGAGUGACCCCUGGAGGAAGCACGGGCUAAGUUCGUGCCAGCAGCCGCGGUAAGACGAACCGUGCAAACGUUAUUCGGAAUCACUGGGCUUAAAGGGCGCGUAGGCGGGUAAUCAAGUCAAUGGUGAAAUCCUCCAGCUUAACUGGAGAAGUGCCUUUGAUACUGGUUGUCUAGAGGGAGGUAGGGGCAUGUGGAACUUCAGGUGGAGCGGUGAAAUGCGUAGAUAUCUGAAGGAACGCCAGUGGCGAAAGCGAUGUGCUGGACCUCUUCUGACGCUGAGGCGCGAAAGCUAGGGGAUCAAACGGGAUUAGAUACCCCGGUAGUCCUAGCCCUAAACUAUGGGUACUAGAUUGUGGACUUUCAUGGUUCGUACAGUACGAGACAAAGUAGUUAAGUACCCGUCCGUCGGGUAGGUAGUGGUCGCGAGGCGUGAAACGUACAAAGUAGUAAGUUAGUACGGUUCGUUGUAGACGUUGCCGACGGCGACGACGAGGGGAGGUUAGG